GGCGCGCGGACAAAGCGCUCGCUCUGCCCGCGGGGGCCCGGGCGGUGGCGGCGGCCGACGCUCCCCGCGCGCCUGGGACUCGGACCGGCGUGUGCACCGCCGAGAGGGCGCGCCCUGCCCGUCCCGCGCCCGCCGCGCGCUCCGAAGGCUCGGCGCUCCCGGCGGGCGGAAGCGGGCGGCGGGACCCGGAGCGGCCGAGCGGGGCGGCGCGCGCGCGCGCAAGGUGGACCCGGCCCGGGCUCGUCGCGGGGACCCCGGUGAGCUUUCGUCAAACAGUCACACAUUUUCCUCUCUGGAUCUUACUGCUCCUGGAACCGGGAGCAGGGCUGACAGAUAAACCGACGAGAGAUGCUUCCCAGCUAAAAUGUGGAAGGAAACCACAAACAAAAACAACUUGGGUGUGCACGAAUCCCCGCAGACUGGGAGACAAGCGUCUUCAGACGGCUUACACAAGCGCUCCUAAUUAGGGCAGCCACCUUUGUGCAAAAGGUUGUGUUUGCCCAUCUACAGGAAGUCGUAGUCGUCGCCAGCUACAGAAGACAAGGAUCUGUCACCAGUUGGUGGUCUCCCUCUUAGGUUGCUUCACGUUUUCAAAAAGUUAAGUGCUUGUGACAAAACCAUGGCUGGCCUGCCUGGCGGCCUACGCGGUACCAGCCCUGUCUUAGCAUAGGUGGCUUCUGGUGGGACCUGUUUCCACCGUGGGUAGGAUUACUUUCAAACUCCUUUCUGGGAAGUAGCUGCUCAUGUUCCGUCCUGCUGUCAUUUUGUAGUUCGUGCUUCAUAAAGGAAACACUUGAUUAGUAAACAUGAAGCUCACUUUUCUCUGUACCUCUGUCUUCUUGACUUUUCUUGACGCUGUGACAAAAUAUUGGAGAAAAGCAGCUGAAGGGAAGAAGGGCUUGUUUUGGCUCACAGUUUGAGGAUGCAGUCUGUCCAAGUCAUAUGGCAGUCACAGUCAGGACGCAGAGCUGACUGCUGGUGUUCAUUUGGCUCUCCUUUUUAUGUUGUCUAGGACCCCUGGCCAUGAAAUGGUGCCGUCUAUAUUUAUAGUGGGUCUUCCCGCCGAAAACUAGCCACUCACAGGCAUGCCCUGACACUUGGUGACUCAAAAAUCUCAUCAAAUUGACAAGAUUAAGUAUCACAAGAUUUCACCCCAGUUUUGCUUUCAUCUCAUAAUAAAAAAAUACAUUUAUUCCAA